CGGUAAUUCCAGCUCCAAUAGCGUAUACUAAAGUUGUUGCAGUUAAAAAGCUCGUAGUUGGAUUUCUGCGGGGACGGAGCGGCCGGACGCAACUUGCGUCUCGAGCUAGCGCUUUCCCCGCAUCCUGCCGCGAACCGUGCUACCAUUAGUUUGGUGGCGCUGGGGAUCGGCUCGAUUACUUUGAGAAAAAUAGAGUGUUCAAAGCAGGCCACACGCCUUGAAUAAGUUAGCAUGGAAUAAUGACUAAGGACUUCGGUUCUAUUUUGUUGGUGUUCGGGACUGAAGUAAUGAUUGAUAGGGACAGUUGGGGCGGUCUGUAUUCCAAAGCGAGAGGUGAAAUUCUUAGACCUUCGGAAGACAAACAGCUGCGAAAGCGUUCCGCAAGGAUGUUCCCUUUGAUCAAGGACGAAAGUUGGGGGAUCGAAGACGAUCAGAUACCGUCGUAGUCUCAACUAUAAACUAUACCAGCUAGGGAUCGGCCAACGUUUAAUUAUUCGACUUGGUCGGCACCUUAUGAGAAAUCAAAGCAUCUGGGUUCCGGGGGGAGUAUGGUCGCAAGGCUGAAACUUAAAGGAAUUGACAGAAGGGCACCACCAGCCGUGGAGCCUGUGGCUUAAUUUGACUCAACACGGGAAAACUUACCAGGUCCAGACAUAGGAAGGAUUGACAGAUUGAUAGCUCUUUCUUGAUUCUGUGGGUGGUGGUGCAUGGCCGUUUUUAGUUGGUGGAGUGAUUUGUCCGCUUAAUUGCGGUAACGAACGAGACCCCAGCAUGUUAAAUAGCGCGGCCGAGCUCUGCUCGGUGCGAGCAUAUUAGAGGGGACAUGAUACGCGACAGCACAAGGAGGUUCGGGGCCACAUCAGGUCUGUGAUGCCAUUAGAUGUUUUGGGUCGCACACGGGCUGCACUGGCCCCUGCAACGAUCAUAUCAGCUGAGACGAGAGGGUCUUGUCUAAUGUUUUGAACCGGCGCCGUGGUUGGGAUUGACCUUUGCAAGUUCUGGUCAUGCAGCGAGGAAUGCCUUGUAAACUCGUGUCAUCACCUCGCAUUGAAUACGUCCCUGCCCUCUGUACACACCUCCCGUCGCUCGUUGCGAGGAAUGAUGCGAUGAAAUGUUAGGAGAGCACCAGAGAACGGGGCUCUGCCGAUCAGAUGUGGAGGAUCAAAGUCAAUUAAAUCUGAUCAUGGAGAGGAGAGGAGAAGUCGUAGGCAAGGUAAACGUAAGGGUGAAUCCAGCACACGGGCGGCCG
rnacentral:rRNA from 1 species